GCUACAGCAAAGUGGGAAGGUAGGAUAACCACAUACUUAUUUAACAAGAUGCUUUAAUUUUGUCUCAGGCUAAAAGGUGACUGUUUGAUUUAGGAAUAUAUACUAAUUUUCCUAAAAUCUUUCUUUGACAAACCAUUUACCUGGACUUCACUGUUGUGUUGAUUGCUAUUUCAGAGUGUUGGGAUAUACUGUCAGCUUGGCACAGGCUUUCCUCUUUAGUGAUGAUGGCAAAUGGGCUUAUUUCCACACUGGGAAAGCCCAUUUCUUUAAAUAGCCCUUCUCAAGAAGUUAUCAAUGGUUGUUAGAUAAAAUGUGACCAGGAAAUCAGGUGAUAUUAAGAAGUAUUUUAUGAGCAAUAGCAGAUCCUUUGAUACACACCUUCUUUCUGAUACGAAGAAACUGUACCUGUAGUUUAUUUUUUAUUUUAUUUUUAUUUUUUGAGAUGGGAGUCUUGCUCUGUCACCCAGGCUGGAGUGCAGUGGUUCAAUCUCAGCUCACUGCAACCUCCACCUCCUGGGUUAAAGCAAUUCUCCUGCCUCAGCCUCCUGAGUAGCUGGGAUUACAGGCAUGCGCCACUACUUCUGGCUAAUUUUUGUAUUUUUAGUGGAGACGGGGUUUUACCAUGUUGGUCAGGCUGGUUUUGAACUCCUGACCUCAGGUGAUCCGCCCACUUCGGCCUCCUAAAGUACUGGGAUUACAAGCAUGAGCCACCAUGCCUGGCCUCUACCUGUGUUUUAACGUGGACUAUGUUUAUGCCUUGGAUUAGAACACUGGAGUAGCUGGAUGUGAUUCUUCUUUUUUUUCCUUUAAUGUCAGGUCAGAAUAACUCAGUGGUUUGAGGCCCUCUUAUUUUCCUGAUGGCUAGCGUGUUUGAAUGUUUGGUCUGUUGAUGUUUUAACACUUGUUUGUGUGAGAUUGUGUGAGAAAUUCAGGACCUGUACACUGCAGUACAUUUGAGGAUUCCUGGCCCUCACCUCCUAAAUCCCACUAGCUACCCUUCCCCCAUUAUUUUGAGAAUUAAAACACCUACUUGUUUCCAGAUGCCACCUGCCUCUGUGAGUGUGGGCAUGAGUAUGUGUGUGUUGCGGAGGUGGGUGAGGGAGUUGGAGGAGUUUUGUUACACAUCUGAGUUAUUUCAUCAUGGUAAGAUGUUAUUGUUCUUUCAUUUCAUUAAAAAAAUCUGUCUAAUUCUUUAAAAAUAGAGUUAAAGAAAGAAGAUAUUUAUGCAGUGGAGAUAGUUGGUGGUGCUACACGAAUCCCUGCGGUAAAAGAGAAGAUCAGCAAAUUUUUCGGUAAAGAACUUAGUACAACAUUAAAUGCUGAUGAAGCUGUCACUCGAGGCUGUGCAUUGCAGUGUGCCAUCUUAUCGCCUGCUUUCAAAGUCAGAGAAUUUUCUAUCACUGAUGUAGUACCAUAUCCAAUAUCUCUGAGAUGGAAUUCUCCAGCUGAAGAAGGGUCAAGGUAUCAUGUUUAUUAAUCAUUUACAUAUCUAAAGUUAAUUGACUAUUAGGUCUGAGUAAUAUGUUGCUUUUCAUUUCAGUUUACAUAAAUCUGUAACAUUUUAUCAUAGUGCAUGAAGGAAGUGGUCAUUUAUUUUAGUCAGAAUAAAUUUGUGUCCUUAAUUAGUUUCUCACACUUGAUUCUGCUGAAAUCAUCAGUGCCUUUUAUGUGCAGAUUGACGUAUAUUCCUUUUUUACUGACUUUAUAUAUAAAGAUUCUUGGGAACUCUUAUAAUCUGGAAAUAAUACCAAUUGAAAAGAGAGAGAAACUAACACUGUACAAUAAUUACAAACCUAGAACACAUGGGUAAAAGUGUUAGGAAUAUCCUGAAUUUGUGUUUUUGUCUUUUUCCUCCAUUCAGUGACUGUGAAGUCUUUUCCAAAAAUCAUGCUGCUCCUUUCUCUAAAGUUCUUACAUUUUAUAGAAAGGAACCUUUCACUCUUGAGGCCUACUACAGCUCUCCUCAGGAUUUGCCCUAUCCAGAUCCUGCUAUAGGUAAGUAAAGAGUUGGAAAU
rnacentral:lncRNA from 1 species